CGUAGGUGUUUCCAGAUGAGAGGAAAUAGCUCUGUGGGAAAGCGUAUAAUCCAGGAAAAGUCUACCCCGCUCUGGAUUGAAAAUCCAAAUGAAUCUACCCAUCCAGAAGGAAACUCACGGACCUACCUUCUAUUCUUUGAAGUACGUGUUAAGGAGAUGUUCCUUUUGGUGUUCUAACUUCUGGAAGCAUGGUCACUUCCCCUCUGCUUCUCAAUGUGUAUGGUGUGGAGUGUGAAUGCAUUUGGUGGUACUGCUAUUUGUGAAAGUUGAGUUCCAAUCUUCCAUUCACAGUGGGCAUCAUCAUUGGAAGGGUUAGCUGGACUUUAGACGUUGGAGAAUAAUGGUCACGAUACUGAAGAUUACACAAGUGAUGCUGAUAAUGGCAAAGAAGAAGAAAAAGAGAAUGAUACUGACUUUGUAAUAGCAUUACAAAUUUACAAUUGCUGGUGGCUUCUAAAUAUUACACAAUAUAUAUUGUAAAGGAACCUUGUAGGACCUCGCCGCAUAUAGGUCAUAAGUUUGUUAUGGAGAUUCUAAAUGGUUAUCAUGA